rnacentral:rRNA from 1 species
AACGAACGCUGGCGGCAUGCCUAACACAUGCAAGUCGAACGAGACCUUCGGGUCUAGUGGCGCACGGGUGCGUAACGCGUGGGAACCUGCCCUUAGGUUCGGAAUAACUCCCCGAAAGGGGUGCUAAUACCGGAUAAUGUCUUCGGACCAAAGAUUUAUCGCCUUGGGAUGGGCCCGCGUUGGAUUAGCUAGUUGGUAGGGUAAAAGCCUACCAAGGCGACGAUCCAUAGCCGGUCUGAGAGGAUGAUCAGCCACACUGGGACUGAGACACGGCCCAGACUCCUACGGGAGGCAGCAGUGGGGAAUAUUGGACACUGGGCGAAAGCCUGAUCCAGCAAUGCCGCGUGAGUGAUGAAGGCCUUAGGGUUGUAAAGCUCUUUUACCCGGGAUGAUAAUGACAGUACCGGGAGAAUAAGCGCCGGCUAACUCCGUG